rnacentral:tRNA from 1 species
AUAAGCUCAGGUGGUUAGAGCAUGGUGCUAAUAAUGCCAAAGUCGUGGGUUCAAUCCCCACAU